rnacentral:rRNA from 1 species
GAUGAACGCUGGUGGCGUGCCUAAUACAUGCAAGUCGAGCGAACAGACGAGGAGCUUGCUCCGCUGACGUUAGCGGCGGACGGGAGAGUAACACGUGGAUAACCUACCUAUAAGACGGGGAUAACUUCGGGAAACCGGAGCUAAUACCGGAUGAUAUAUUGAACCGCAGGGGUGAAUAGUGAAAGACGGUGUUGCGGGCACGUAUAGAUGGAUCCGCGCCGCAUUAGCUAGUUGGUAAGGUAAAGGCUUACCAAGGCGACGAUGCGUAGGCGACGGGAGGGGCGGAUCGGCCACCCUGGAACUUGGCCACGCUCCAGGCUCCUACGGGACGCCGCAGUAGGCAAUCGUACGCAAUGGGCGAAAGCCUGACGGAGCAACGCCGCGUGAGUUAUGACGGUCUUCGGAUCGUAAAACUCUGUUACUAGUGAAAAACCACUUUGUAAGUAACUAUGCACGUCUUGACGGUACCUAAUCAGAAAGCCCCGGCUAACUACGUG